AGAGAGAGAGAGAGAGAGAGAGAGAGAGAGAGAGAGAGAGAGAGAGAGAAAGAGAAACCCAGGGACCUCCUAAUAGGCCCCAUGUCUUCAAAUCCUGCCUCUUUAAACAUGUGAACCAUUAUCACUAGGGUACACUCAAGUGCUAGCCACUCCAUACUACAUCCCUGUUCUGGAGAUACCCACAAGUUUUUACAGAUCGGGAAACUGAGGCUCUGAGAGGUGGGGUGAGAGGUAUAGAGCUUAUGGCACAGUCAGGAUCAGAAAGUGGGAUGUCACCUGAAAGCAGCCACUUGGAGCAAAGGCAGAGGACCCUGGGAGCUCCCUGGAUAGGGUCCAUACACACACAGACACACACACACACAGACACACACACACACACACACACACACACACACACACACACACACGGAGACAGGGGAGGGGGGAGGCAUCAAUGUGGAGAAGGGACCUGUGGCCAGCCUUGGAGAGGCAGUGGCUGGUGAGUGUGUGUGGGUGUGAGAGGGUGGAAAGGGUAUAUCAUAGAGCAAUCUCUAUGAAAGUGUCGUGUGGGGUGAGUGACCGUUCUGGACACCCCUCUAAUAUAGACUUUUGAGCAGAGGAGUGCCUGGCCCAGGAGUACCUGGGAGUGGGGCUUGAGGGAAUGAAGCUGGCUGGUAAUCUCCACCUCUGGCUGGAGCCUGCAAGUCCUUGGAGGCCCCAGAGCCUCAUGUUCUCAGAGUGGGGCCAGGGAGGGAGGGGCUUCUCGGCAGCUGGCCCAGGGGCCAUGGCGGAAAAACAAGCCGUGC
rnacentral:lncRNA from 1 species